AGCAUAAUACCCUCCAGUUCCAUCCGUGUAGUUGCAAAUGACAUAGAGUCUUCUUUAAAGAACAAUAUGUCAAUCAGCAGGCCUCUGGCGCAGUUGAAUCCUUGGGGGGCACUGACAGGAUGGACUAAUUGCUUACCGGACACAUCUGCCCUCUUGUGAUGAAAAUUAUUCAAAUAGGAUCUUCUCCAGGUCUCUGGAAUGCACCUACUUAGUCCUUGGGUCUAGUUCCAUGGUUGAAGGAUGGAGGAUGGGUAGCCAAUGAGGAAGCUGACUCUGUAGAGUCAGACUUAUGGAUCUCCCAACCUUCUCCAAGACGUUCCUAGCUUUGUGACUCUCAGACAGUGAGGCUUAUAAAUGUGACUCCAGAGUCCUGUAACUUUUAGCACCAGGGAUAAGGGGGAAACAGAUUAGGCUUCCUGAAGAGUCCCAGGGACACUAAUGAGACCCCAUCUGCGUCCGUAGGGAAGGAGUUUAUUUUGUUUAAGUGGCCCUAGUGGAUUAGGACCAGAUGUACAAGACUUGGCAGAAAGAUGGUCAAUUGAAGAAUGAACUGAAGGUCACAAACUAUCAGAACAGAGAGGAAACGGAAGCAGACAGGCCCGUGUUCUAGUCCGUGCUCUACCGGUGACAUGCUGUGUGACCUUGGGCAAGUUGCUUUUGUUUGGCACCAGUUUCCUCAGCGGUAGAGUGACAGAACUGAACUACAUGAGCUCAAAAUCUCAGGUGUCGCCAGGUGCGUCUUUCAACGUUCACCAAAAUCCCUUUUCUGAUGGGCUCCCCAUCACACACACAUUUUUAUGCACAUUAUGAUUAGUAAGACAAGAUCCACACCCAUCGUCAUGGGUUUUCCUCAUUCAUGAAGUAACUCCUACUUCUCUGGGUUGUUGGGAAGUCGUCGUCUCCAUUUGAUGCAGUGUUAGGGGGUCCCGUCAGACUAGGUUUGUUUGGGCGAAGCAAGGACACGUAUGCACAGCUAUAUAUUUUUUUAAGUAAGGAAAACUGAUUUUGAAGAUACUGAUGCCUACGCUGAUGAAUUAUUAUGCUGCACAGUGCCAGCUUCAAACAGAGGCUGAUUUAGGGAUUAUUCAUUCUCCCUGAAAUUGUGGUGAUUACUGGUGCCAGCCUGUAGCUCUAAUCUGUAGGGUGGGGUCCAGGGUCAAAGGAGACCUUACUGGCUUCACUUUACCUUACAGAUUAUGUUCUGUAACUUCCAUCUGCUUCCAGACCAUUUAGUUUACCCCUAGACUUCAUGGGCUGACAUAGGUUAAAAAAGAAAGAAAACUUCAUAGCAAAAAUCUUUGAUUGAUAAUCCUACUCCAAAGAAACAACCCUAAAGAAUGUUCUACAUCCACAGAAACAUCAUGUGAAAUAAUCACCACCACAACCAGUCUGGAAGACUGGAUCUCUAACAUUUGGAACAUAAUUAAGCAAAUUCUCUAACCAACAGAAUUCAAACGAUAAUGAUGAAGCCUAUGUAACAAUGUGGGAACAUGUCUGAUUGAAAGAAACCACAAACGUCCACUGUGAUCAUAACCAUGUAAUUUUCCAGAAGGAAAUCCUGACGCAUGGCUACAGCAUGGAUGGACCUGAGGACAUCAUGCUAAGCGAAGUGAGCCAGUUACGCAAAAAUGCUGUGUGAUUCUACUUAUGUGAGUCCGGCAGCAGAAGGGGAUGCCUGGCGAAGGCUUGUGGGCCCAGCUUGGUGUGGAGCAGGAGACGGGAGCUCCUGCUCCCAUCUCGACUGUGUGAGGAAGACCUGGAUGUGCCUCCCGCUGUUCGGUGAGUGACACUUAAAUGGUAGCGCUGUUUGGGGAUAACGACGAAAACUAACGGCUAUGCUUUUCACUGACAGAGCUAGACUGUUCCAAGAAGCUUGAGGUGGACUAUUUUUGGACUUGACUUUGAGAAUUUCCAGGCCCAUAUUUGACCUUGUUGGGAAGUUCCCUAAGCCCAAGCGUUGAGAAGAGAACCACCUGGGCGGUCCAUCGUGAGCUGAAAUGAACAACGUCGAUUUCACUUUCUUUUAGCCAGGAAGUCUGAGGUCGAAGCACCCCUGGCCAUCAGCUCACCACGCUCAUUCCACAUCGGUUGCCCAGAAUCUCUGGUAGAGAUAAUCACCCCGUGAAGCAGCCACUCUUACUUAGACCUGCUAAGAGGGCACCCGGCGAUCUCUGUCAGCAGAGUGAGACUCUAGGACUAAAACAAAAGCCUAGGAGGAGCCCUUGUCUUGGCAAAACCUUGGGUGGAUCAAAUCGCAACACUGCACAGACCUAGUAACUACAGCGGUGAGGUGAGCAGACCGUCAACCUGUCGGGGAGUACGGAGGAGGAAGAGACUAUUCCAGGUAAAACACUUGGUCGUCGAGCACCUUUUCUCCAAGAAGUUUGGCACUAACUCUAUACCAUGUCCUCAAUUCUUCCACGAAGAUAGCGUGACCAACUCACCUCCGGGGUCCUCAGGGCAGGCGUUUGAGCUCAGUCUUCUUCCUCUAAUGUCCGAUAAAAAUAACCCUACACGUGCAUUACGUCUCUUCAUAGUGUAUUUACAGUAAGUAAAACGGCCCGCCAGGCACACUCACGCCCUGCAAAAUUGUAACAGCUGCUCAGGGACGCUCGUGCCCGUCACCAAGGCAGCAGGGUCCCCUGAGACUCCGAGAGGGGCGAAUGCACGGGGCGGCUGGCUCUGCUAGCGGGCCGCCCGGGGCCCACACUCCAUGCACAGCAGCGGCCUCUCAGAAGCAGACGAUCCGCUUCUCGUCUUGGAAGACUUUGGCCUCCUCUGGCUUUAUCAAGUUUCCAUUUAGGCUGUCGGGGAGAAACAAAGAACACAAAACAUUAGCAGUUUGUAGGAGCCUUCCCGGGACGUGUUCCCGACACCCUCCUGUUCUUCACGUGGCCCAGAAGUUCCGGAACGUGCUCCAUUCAGACACUUGCUUGGUAAGAUUACUCCCUUCCAGCUGUCGUCGCUCUAUGAACUGGGUCUCACUAAGGUCACCAGUAGCCUCUAGGAGCCUGAACUUCAUGACCUUGUCUCAGGCCUUGUCUGUCCCGUCCUUCACGGGCGUUUGGCUGUUCUCUCCCCUGCCUCCUUGAACCACCACAUUUGCUCGGCUUGAUUUCUUGCUCUCUGGUUUUCUCCUGUGUCUGCCACUCCACCUCCGUCUCCUCUCCCAUGGUCUCCCGCAUGUGGUCUCUAGAUACUGGAUUCCUCUAGACUGGGGGCUUGGCCCUUUUCCCCAGCUGACCUCAUCCCUACGUGAGUGGACCUGCGGCCCAGACCUCUCCCGUGUGGCUCCACUUACUUGACAUCUUCACUUGGACGCCGCCCAGGGACCCUGGCUCAGUGCACGGGACCACUCUUUAUCCACCUGUGCAAGACUUGGUGGCAGCGUUGGGAUCUGAAGCGAACUUCCUCCGGGGCCAAGAAGACCCACAGGCAGGGCGCCCUGCCAGCGCGCUUCUGAGUUCAAGGUCAGCCUCGCCCGUUUCCCCAUGUUUCCGGGGUGCCACCGGGGAGUCCCUCUCCAUUCGUACUCACCUCCUUGCACCGGAGCUCCCACCCUAACAGGCUUGCCAGUCUACGGUUAACGGGUCAGCACAGACCGAUGGGGGUGGGAUGGGGGGGCGGUUCUCACGGAGCGC